rnacentral:lncRNA from 1 species
GCAGGUGGAUUCUUUACCAACUGAGCUAUCAGGGAAGUCCAGCUAUCAGGGAAGCUUCCCCAAUCAGGGAAGCAUGAAGUUUUAACCACUGGACCGUCAGAGAAGUCCCUCUUUUUACAUUUUUUAAUGUAGCUACCAGAAAAUUGAAAAUUAAGUGCAUGGCUCACAUUUUUGCCUUGCGUUACAUUUCUUUUGAACAGUGAGCGCUGUUCUGGAACCUCACCACUUAGUGUUGUCCCUGCUCAAGCAGCAUCAGCAUUUCCAGAAAGCUCGUGAGGAAUAGACUCUCAGAGCUCAGCCCAGACCUAAAGAAUCAGAAUCUUCAUUUUAGUCAGAUUCCUGGGGGAUUCAAGUGCGAGAAGCUGCCCUCAGAGGACUUCCUGUAGGUUCAGCUGAUCCGUCUGCUUCCAGGAAGGCAUGCUGGUGUGGCCACUGCACGGUGACAUACUGGACAGCAAAACAGCAAAUGCUGGGAUAGACCGGACCCUUUGACACCCAAGUCUUGUGAACUAGGGGACAGAGCCAAGAAGAGUGAGGUCAGCUUUUCACUGUGGCCUGGUUUUCUCCUCUUCUCUGGAUAAGUGAGAUAACUCAUGGAGCUUCAUGAAUGCUCAGUAGACCUCCUACCUAUAAAUAAUGGGAGAUUUUUCAAUAUUCAGAGAAAAGAAUGAGGAGACCUGAGGGAGAACUAAACAUGUAUCUUCUGCUGUGCAUGGAAAUGAUGAUUUUCAUAAAGAAAAUAAAUGUACAUGCAAUAAAGCCCAGAGAUAUAAAUGCAGAAAUGAAUAACAAGCUCAAGGCCACAAAGAUGACAAAUCACCAGCUGAUUACGCUGUGGGCUCUCUGUAUGUACAGCAAGCUCUUUGAGAACAGAGAAGACCCCCCAGAUUGAAGUGAAGGGGAAGCUUCUUAGAGGAAGGAGGAGAGGCUGGAAAUUCUUUUUAUGAACAUAUGGAGUAUGGCCUUUUCCAGGGAAGGCAAUGGAGUCCCCUAAAGACGCUGAAGACUGGGGAAUAACGAUGAGAAGUUCAGCGGCCCCUGAAGCUGUGGUGAGGUCCUAGGAGGACAGGACCCUAAACAAGAGCCCAUUACCAGCACUGGAUUCAAU